UUAGGAUUUAUUUAAAUUUUGUUCAACUAUGUUUCGAAAAGGCAAGAAAAAAAAUUUGGACAAAAAGAUAAUUAUUCCUUUCAAACAAGCAUGAGACUGAGAAAAGUGUCGUAACAAAGUUGUAUCAGUGAUUUGUAGGCAGGUCCUCCAUAAUAUUACAGGACAUGUAUAGAUUAUUUGUUGGAGCUGUAAAUCCAUAAUCCAUUAUCAAAAUAUAUCAAUUUGUUUGGAUGAUGAAAUAUUUCUCAAUAUCACAUAGUCUGUCAUGAUACAGUUAUUAUUCUAUUCAAUUUACAAGUCUGCUGUUAACAUGAUAUAUUGAUCCACAUGAUGAUGAUAUGAUCCAUAUUGUUGUUUGUCUUGAUAUAAAUCAAUCAUUACUCAUUAAUCAUCUGUGUGUAUCGAUGUAUCAUUGGUUUUGUUAUUAAAAGGAAACCCCACUGAGGCAUUUGUGAUGUUAUCACCCCCUGCCUCUCAGAUCAGGCACUGCGCUAAUUGUUUACACCUGCACUGAGUUGGCUCAUCACCUCCCCUGGGCUUUAUAAGGAAGUGCUGGAGUGCAUCUCGUCGCUGAAGCAUCGCCUCUGUUUGGAAGCGACCGCCAGUACUUUAAACCCAGCCUUGGAAACCGAGCCAACCUCACCUGGAUCUCAUGCGCUGCCUCCAACGAAUCAUUGUAAAUAACUCUGCACUUGUAAAUACUCACCUGUGGAACUUCACCUGUUGGACCUCCUCCUCCAAGUGUCCUCUCCUUCAUCAACCUGUCCCGUCCCCAGAUCCCAGCACCAUWGUAAAUAAAUCACUUAUCUUUUGUAUUUAUCUGUCUCAGUCUCUGUUUUAUCAGUUGUAUUUUGCUCACGUUGAUAUUCCACCUGUAAACCUGAUACCCACAAAGGUCACUGAAAUAACUUUGUUUUUUAACAUAUUACUGUUGAACCAAAAUCUAAAAGCAA